UACGUAGGGCGCAAGCGUUGUCCGGAAUUAUUGGGCGUAAAGAGCUCGUAGGCGGUUUGUCGCGUCUGUCGUGAAAGCCCACGGCUUAACCGUGGGUCUGCGGUGGAUACGGGCAGACUAGAGGCAGGUAGGGGAGAAUGGAAUUCCCGGUGUAGCGGUGAAAUGCGCAGAUAUCGGGGGGAACACCGAUGGCGAAGGCAGGUCUCUGGGCCACUACUGACGCUGAGAAGCGAAAGCAUGGGGAGCGAACAGG
rnacentral:rRNA from 1 species